rnacentral:rRNA from 1 species
UAAUACGUAGGGGGCAAGCGUUAUCCGGAUUUACUGGGUGUAAAGGGAGCGUAGGUGGCAGAGCAAGUCAGAUGUGAAAGCCCGUGGCUUAACCGCGGGAUUGCAUCAGAAACUGCUUUGCUAGAGUGCAGGAGAGGUAAGUGGAAUUCCUAGUGUAGCGGUGAAAUGCGUAGAUAUUAGGAGGAACAUCAGUGGCGAAGGCGACUUACUGGACUGCAACUGACACUGAGGCUCGAAAGCGUGGGGAGCAAACAGG